AUGAACGCUGGCGGCGUGCCUCAUACAUGCAAGUCGCGCGCACGGACGAGAAGCUUGCUUCUCUGAUGUUAGCGGCGGACGGGUGAGUAACACGUGGAUAACCUACCUAUAAGACUGGGAUAACUUCGGGAAACCGGAGCUAAUACCGGAUGAUAUUUUGAACCGCAUGGUUCAAAAGUGAAAGACGGUCUUGCUGUCACUUAUAGAUGGAUCCGCGCUGCAUUAGCUAGUUGGUAAGGUAACGGCUUACCAAGGCAACGAUGCAUAGCCGACCUGAGAGGGUGAUCGGCCACACUGGAACUGAGACACGGUCCAGACUCCUACGGGAGGCAGCAGUAGGGAAUCUUCCGCAAUGGGCGAAAGCCUGACGGAGCAACGCCGCGUGAGUGAUGAAGGUCUUCGGAUCGUAAAACUCUGUUAUUAGGGAAGAACAUAUGUGUAAGUAACUGUGCACAUCUUGACGGUACCUAAUCAGAAAGCCACGGCUAACUACGUG
rnacentral:rRNA from 1 species